UACGUAGGGCGCAAGCGUUGUCCGGAAUUAUUGGGCGUAAAGAGCUCGUAGGCGGUUUGUCGCGUCUGUCGUGAAAGCUUGGGGCUUAACCCCAAGUCUGCGGUGGAUACGGGCAGACUAGAGGCAGGUAGGGGAGAACGGAAUUCCCGGUGUAGCGGUGAAAUGCGCAGAUAUCAGGAAGAACACCCGUGGCUAAGGCGGUUCUCUAGUACGGUACUGACGCUGAGACGCGAAAGCGUGGGGAGCGAACAGG
rnacentral:rRNA from 1 species